UACGUAGGGUGCGAGCGUUGUCCGGAAUUAUUGGGCGUAAAGAGCUUGUAGGCGGUUUGUCGCGUCUGCUGUGAAAUCUCAAGGCUCAACCUUGAGCUUGCAGUGGGUACGGGCAGACUAGAGUGUGGUAGGGGAGACUGGAAUUCCUGGUGUAGCGGUGAAAUGCGCAGAUAUCAGGAGGAACACCGAUGGCGAAGGCAGGUCUCUGGGCCACUACUGACGCUGAGAAGCGAAAGCCAGGGGAGCAAACGGG
rnacentral:rRNA from 1 species